rnacentral:rRNA from 1 species
CCCCUAGAUGUUCUGGGCCGCACGCGCGCUACACUGAACAGUUCAACAAGUCUUAACCUUGGCCGAUAGGUCUGGGUAAUCUUUGAACGCUGUUCGUGAUUGGGAUAGACCUUUGCAAUUAUGGGUCUUCAACGAGGAAUUCCUAGUAAACGCAAGUCAGCAGCUUGCAUUGAUUACGUCCCUGCCCUUUGUACACACCGCCCGUCGCACCUACCGAUUGAAUGGUCCGGUGAAAUCUCGGGACGGCGGCUUGGUCGCUUGCGUCCGACUGCUGAAACUUGAUUAAACCAUAUCAUUUAGAGGAAGGUGAAGUCGUANCA